GAUCCGCAAGGACCUGGCGUUCGAAGAGGGGCCCGCGCCUGAUUAGCUAGUUGGUGGGGUAACGGCUCACCAAGGCAACGAUCAGUAUCCGGCCUGAGAGGGCGGACGGACACACUGGGACUGAGACACGGCCCAGACUCCUACGGGAGGCGGCAGUGGGGAAUUGUUCGCAAUGGGCGCAAGCCUGACGACGCAACGCCGCGUGGAGGAUGAAGACCUUCGGGUCGUAAACUCCUUUCGAUCGAGACGAAUGGCCUCCGGGUGAACAAUCCGGAGGAAUGACGGUACCGAGAGAAGAAGCCCCGGCUAACUCCGUGCCAGCAGCCGCGGUAAUACGGGGGGGGCAAGCGUUGUUCGGAAUUACUGGGCGUAAAGGGCUCGUAGGUGGCCAACUAAGUCAGACGUGAAAUCCCUCGGCUUAACCGGGGAACUGCGUCUGAUACUGGAUGGCUUGAGUUUGGGAGAGGGAUGCGGAAUUCCAGGUGUAGCGGUGAAAUGCGUAGAUAUCUGGAGGAACACCGGUGGCGAAGGCGGCAUCUCUGGACCACGACCUGACACUGAGGAGCGAAAGCCAGGGGAGCAAACG
rnacentral:rRNA from 1 species